AUUGAACGCUGGCGGCAGGCUUAACACAUGCAAGUCGAGCGGGGGAAGGUAGCUUGCUACUGGACCUAGCGGCGGACGGGUGAGUAAUGCUUAGGAAUCUGCCUAUUAGUGGGGGACAACAUCUCGAAAGGGAUGCUAAUACCGCAUACGUCCUACGGGAGAAAGCAGGGGAUCUUCGGACCUUGCGCUAAUAGAUGAGCCGAAGUCGGAUUAGCUAGUUGGUGGGGUAAAGGCCUACAAAGGCGACGAUCUGUAGCGGGUCUGAGAGGAUGAUCCGCCACACUGGGACUGAGACACGGCCCAGACUCCUACGGGAGGCAGCAGUGGGGAAUAUUGGACAAUGGGGGGAACCCUGAUCCAGCCAUGCCGCGUGUGUGAAGAAGGCCUUAUGGUUGUAAAGCACUUUAAGCGAGGAGGAGGCUACUCUAGUUAAUACCCAGGGAUAGUGGACGUUACUCGCAGAAUAAGCACCGGCUAACUCUGUGCCAGCAGCCGCAGUAA
rnacentral:rRNA from 1 species